rnacentral:sRNA from 1 species
AAGGGACUAGCGUAGUUCGGAAUUACUGGGCUUAAAGAGUUCGUAGGUGGUUGAAAAAGUUGGUGGUGAAAUCCCAGAGCUUAACUCUGGAACUGCCAUCAAAACUUUUCAGCUAGAGUAUGAUAGAGGAAAGCAGAAUUUCUAGUGUAGAGGUGAAAUUCGUAGAUAUUAGAAAGAAUACCAAUUGCGAAGGCAGCUUUCUGGAUCAUUACUGACACUGAGGAACGAAAGCAUGGGUAGCGAAGAGGAUUAGAUACCCUCGUAGUCCAUGCCGUAAACGAUGUGUGUUAGACGUUGGAAAUUUAUUUUCAGUGUCGCAGGGAAACCGAUAAACACACCGCCUGGGGAGUACGACCGCAAGGUUAAAACUCAAAUGAAUUGACGGGGACCCGCACAAGUAGUGGAGCAUGUGGUUUAAUUCGAAGAUACGCGCAGAACCUUACCAACACUUGACAUGUUCGUCGCGACUCUAAGAGAUUAGAGUUUUCGGUUCGGCCGGACGAAACACAGGUGCUGCAUGGCUGUCGUCAGCUCGUGUCGUGAGAUGUUGGGUUAAGUCCCGCAACGAGCGCAACCCUCACUUUUAGUUGCCAUCAUUAAGUUGGGCACUCUGAAAGAACUGCCAGUGAUAAGCUGGAGGAAGGUGGGGAUGACGUCAAGUCCUCAUGGCCCUUACGUGUUGGGCUACACACGUGCUACAAUGGCAUCUACAACAGGAAGCAAAACGGCAACGUUAAGCAAAUCCCGAAAAGAUGCCUCAGUUCGGAUUGCACUCUGCAACUCGAGUGCACGAAGCUGGAAUUACUAGUAAUCGUGGAUCAGCGUGCCACGGUGAAUGCGUUCCCGGGUCUUGUACACACCGCCCGUCACACCAUGGGAGUUGGUUCUACCUUAAGGCAAGGUUUUAAACCCUUGACCACGGUAUAGUCAGCGACUGGGGUGAAGUCGUAACAAGGUAGCCGUAGGGGAACCUGCGGCUGGAUUACCUCCUUUCUAAGGAUGAGUGAAAGUAAAAUUUCACUCUAAAUAAUAUACAUCGGUAAUGUUGACCGUCCUCAUUUCUCUUCUUAAAGUAAUGUUUCCUUCUUGUAGGGCCGGUAGCUCAGUUGGUUAGAGCACACCCUUGAUAAGGGUGGGGUCGAAAGUUCGAGUCUUUCUCGGCCCACCAAAAACCUAAAUGGGGGAUUAGCUCAUCUGGGAGAGCGCCUGAUUUGCAUUCAGGAGGUAGCAGGUUCGAUCCCUGUAUCCUCCACCAGGAAACAUUUAGUUAUUAAAACUGUAAAUAAAAAUAAUUUAUAUCAAUAUCUAUAUCCGAACAUUAAAAGUUAUUAUUUAAUGUUCAAAAUAAAAAUUUGAUCACAACAUAGAUAAAUUUUCUGUUAAAAGAAUUUUUUUCUGUGCAUAAAUCAAGCGUUUAAGGGCGUGUAGUGGAUGCCUUGGCACUGAAAGCCGAUGAAGGACGUGAUAUACUGCGAUAAGUUUCGGGGAGCUGUAUGUAAGCUUUGAUCCGAAAAUUU